UCCAGCAGUAGUCAGCUAUGCAGACAGAAUCAUGUCUGUGAUGGUGUUACACUGCUGGGAGAGGAAUACCCUGUCUUCUUUCUCCAGUCGCCUCUGUCACUGUUCUGACCACAGCUGGCACUGGGGCAAGGCAGAACUGUGCUUCCUUGAGAGCAAGCUAAGCAUCACUUUGGCUGCUUAGUUCUGGUGUGGGAGCAGACACA